GGGGGCCUGGAACAUAUAAUACAAGGACAGAACUACACUGAUAAGUAGUCUGAGAAGGAAAGCUUGCGGAGCCCUGACAUGGUGAAGAGAUGUCAGUCAGUGGUGGACACGGUCAGAGGUGGACACGGUCAGAGCUCGCCCUGAAGAGGGGGCUAUUUCCAAGGGAAAACGCUCCAGACAGACAGGAGGGGAAUUCCACACGAAAGCCUGCGAUGCACAGGCCUUGAGACGCACAGUAUGAAGCAAGCACUUCGACAUACAUGAACAUGUAUGUGUGGUGUCUGGGGGGUUGGCAAAAACUCAAGACAGCAAAAACUGACUGUGUCACAUUUCUUACCUUUGUGUAUGAAAUAAAGAUAGCAGUGACCUAAUAAUUGGUAUUAAUAUUGAUUUGAAAUGUGUUAUGUUCUGUUCUGGCACCGAUGUGUGUUUCCAUUCUCCUUAACCGUCUCUAUUCCAUGGUAUUCCGUGUCUAAACGGCCUUUUCUGCACCUGAAAUUACAAGUUAUUCCCUAAAUAGUGCACUAUGUUUUGAUCAGAGCCCUAUGGGUCCUGAUCAACAGUGGUAGUGGACUAAAUAUGGAAUAGGGUGUCCUUUGGAACCCUGUCUUUAUGAUAUGGAACAAACUACUGCAUGUCGGAAUCGUCUGCAGGUAGGCCUGCUACCCUCUCUGUCUCUCUGUUUAUUAAAAAUGGUGUCUCUUUUCUCCCAGAGCCCCUACAGAUAGGAUGAGACACCCCUCUGUCUAUGGCUGCGUUUACACAGGCAGCACAAUUCUGUUACUUUUUCCACUAAUUGUUAUUUUUGAACAAUCACAUCAGAUCUUUUAACAUCAAAUAUAUUUUUCUGAGUUGAUCUGAUUGGUCAAAACACCAAUUUGUGAAGAAAAAAAAAAAGAUACGAAUUGGGCUGCCUGUGUAAACGCAGCCCUGUUUCCUCUCUCACCACAGAACAGCUCUGUUUCUCCUCCUCUCUCUUCUGUUGACGUCAAGCCCAGUUUCCUCCCGUCUCCUCCACCCUCACCACAGAACAGCUCUGUUCCUCCUCCUCAAGCCCGGUUUCCUCCCGUCUCCUCCACCCUCACCANNNNNNNNNNAACAAAACCAUAAACAUAUGUAAACCAAAUGUAUAUUCUUUAGAAUACAGUAAAGAACACAAUUGUGUGUGUGGGGUCCCGGGGGGGCAGUCCAGAAAUUUGAAGGGAGGGGCAGUCACCAGUGCUAAGCUACGCUUCAUCUCUUCUCCGGCCUGGGUCUGGCCACAAUACUUUGUCCACAUCACAAGUUACGUUUUCUCUUGCCAAACAUCGAGGGAAGUAUCUCCUAGCAUGGCGUAUCCAACCUUGGACAGAGGCAACCUCUGUGUCCCCACAUGGAGGGAAGUAUCUCCUAGCAUGGCGUAUCCAACCUUGGACAGAGGCAACCUCUAUGUCCCCACAUGCGUCCUCCAUUGCCUGGAGAAGCGGCAUGCGGGCAUAGGGUUGGCGAUCAUACACUUUCUAGCGCCGGGCUGAGAAGAAUUCCUCUAUGGGGUUUAGAAAAGGUGAAUAUGGGGGUAGGUACAAAACUACAAAUUGUGGAUGGGUGGCAAACCGGUUUUGGACCAGAACAGCCCGGUGAAAACUAACAUUGUCCCAUAAAACCACAAAUCUAGCAGGCUCCUGAUCUGGAUCAGGGACAAGCAUUGUGUAAAUUGCAUCCAGAAAAGUGAGCA
rnacentral:lncRNA from 13 species